UUUCUUCUCUACAGGACACUCAGCUUCCAUCAUGGCCGCAGCUAAGGAGAUGAAGCCACGUGCUGUUCCACAGGGUAUCUGCUCAUCUGGUCAGGGUGGAGACACUGAUGAGAUGGUGUGGGUUGGGUUCCUAGACUUUCUUCCUGUCAUCGGCUCUGUUAAAGAGGCUGUGGAGUGGGUCCUGGCUCUGGGUGAAGGAGAUCCCAUGCUUGCUGCUGAGAAGCAGGAGAAGAUGAUGGUUGCACUGGGGCUGCAAAAGGAGACCAGUGGAAGAAGCUCUGGAAGAUCAUCUGGGUUCAGCUCAGCCGAUGAAGGGGAACUUCUUCAUGCAUCACAUGCAUGUGUUCCACUCAUCAGCCUGACUUCUUACAUCGAGAACAUGGCGUCUAAAGGGAAGAAAGGAUCUGUGUCUCAAGAAGCCGGUCAACAGCAGAAGAAAAUGAUUGAAAUUAAAAACAUGAUAGAGGAGGCGUUUCACCGUAUAGAUCCAGACUACCAAAUUGACGAGAAGCUUCUUACAGACACUGGUGUACGUUCUCGAAGAGGAGAGCAUGUGAUCAACAACAAUGUUCUUAAAUUUCACACCAAAAUCCUGACAGAGAGAGGAAUCCAGCGUGAUGUGCAGUGUCCCCUGAAGAGAAGUAUUCAGAAUGAUAUCAUGUAUGAGAUGGUGGCAGAGUUUGAGCCAUACGAGCUGUACAUCAAUGUGAACGCUGUGAUUUAUGGAUUUUAUUGUGGUGUGUUAAGAAUCGCUCUGUGGAAGCUGCUGGAAACAACCAGUAAAAAAAAAACAGUGAAAUCCAACGCAGCAGUUCAGAACUGGAGGAUACAAAUGCUUAGAAGGACUGAAGAGGUGAACUGGAGAGAUGAGGCCGACUGUAUCAUUACUAACAUGAACGUCCACCAGGCUUAUGUGGAUCCUUUUGCGAAGGAGAAGUGGACUGGAAAUUCACGUGCCAAACUUAGAAAGUUUGAAGCUGCUAGAGAAAGUGUAGCGGUCAUGUACCAAGACAUACGCGGACCUGGUUACUUUGAGAAUCUGUCAGUUUCUGGUUAG
rnacentral:lncRNA from 1 species